rnacentral:rRNA from 1 species
GACGAACGCUGGCGGCGUGCUUAACACAUGCAAGUCGAACGGAAAGGCCCUGCUUUUGUGGGGUGCUCGAGUGGCGAACGGGUGAGUAACACGUGAGUAACCUGCCCUUGACUUUGGGAUAACUUCGGGAAACUGGGGCUAAUACCGGAUAGGAGCUCCUGCUGCAUGGUGGGGGUUGGAAAGUUUCGGCGGUUGGGGAUGGACUCGCGGCUUAUCAGCUUGUUGGUGGGGUAGUGGCUUACCAAGGCUUUGACGGGUAGCCGGCCUGAGAGGGUGACCGGCCACAUUGGGACUUAGAUACGGCCCAGACUCCUACGGGAGGCAGCAGUGGGGAAUAUUGCAUAAUGGGCGGAAGCCUGAUGCAGCAACGCCGCGUGCGGGAUGACGGCCUUCGGGUUGUAAACCGCUUUCGCCUGUGACGAAGCGUGAGUGACGGUAAUGGGUAAAGAAGCACCGGCUAACUACGUG